GGUCUUAUGGUCUAGUGGUAUGAUUCUCGCUUAGGGUCCACCCUGAGUAGCUCCAGCAGCUUGCGAGAGGCCCCGCGUUCGAGUCGCGGUAAGACCC